rnacentral:rRNA from 1 species
UACGUAGGGACCGAGCGUUGUCCGGAAUCAUUGGGCGUAAAGGCGCGUAGGCGGCCCGCUAAGUCGAACGUGAAAUCCCCGGGCUCAACCCGGGAACUGCGUCCGAUACUGGCAGGCUUGAAUCCGGGAGAGGGAUGCGGAAUUUCGGGUGUAGCGGUGAAAUGCGCAGAUAUCCGAAGGAACACCGGUGGCGAAGGCGGCUUCCUGGACCGACACUGACGCUGAGGCGCGAAAGCUAGGGGAGCAAACGGG